CAAUCAAAUAUUCAUAGGAUAUGGAUGGGCUCGCGUGACAUUAGCUAGUUGGUAGGGUAACGGCCUACCAAGGCNNNGAUGUCUAGGGGCUCUGAGAGGAGAAUCCCCCACACUGGUACUGAGACACGGACCAGACUCCUACGGGAGGCAGCAGUAAGGAAUAUUGGUCAAUGGAGGGAACUCUGAACCAGCCAUGCCGCGUGCAG
rnacentral:rRNA from 1 species